rnacentral:rRNA from 1 species
AUUGAACGCUGGCGGCAGGCCUAACACAUGCAAGUCGAACGAGUGGCGGACGGGUGAGUAAUGUCUGGGAAACUGCCUGAUGGAGGGGGAUAACUACUGGAAACUGUAGCUAAUACCGCAUACCAUCGGAUGUGCCCAAAUGGGAUUAGCUAGUAGGUGGGGUAAAGGCUCACCUAGGCGACGAUCACUAGCUGGUCUGAGAGGAUGACCAGCCACACUGGGACUGAGACACGGGCCAGACUCCUACGGGAGGCAGCAGUGGGGAAUAUUGCACAAUGGGCGCAAGCCUGACGCAGCCAUGCCGCGUGAAUGAAGAAGGCCUUCGGGUUGUAAAGUACUUUCGGUGGGGAGGCGUUACUUGCAGAAGAAGCACCGGCUAACUCCGUGCCAGCAGCCGCGGUAAUAC